ACGGAAGGCAGCAGUGGGGAAUAUUGCACAAUGGGGGAAACCCUGAUGCAGCGACGCCGCGUGAGUGAAGAAGUAUUUCGGUAUGUAAAGCUCUAUCAGCAGGGAAGAAAAUGACGGUACCUGCAUAAGAAGCCCCGGCUAACUACGUGCCAGCAGCCGCGGUAAUACGUAGGGGGCAAGCGUUAUCCGGAUUUACUGGGUGUAAAGGGAGCGUAGACGGUAAUGCAAGUCUGAUGUGAAAGGCUGGGGCUCAACCCCGGGACUGCAUUGGAAACUGUACUACUUGAGUGCCGGAGGGGUAAGCGGAAUUCCUAGUGUAGCGGUGAAAUGCGUAGAUAUUAGGAGGAACACCAGUGGCGAAGGCGGCUUACUGGACGGUAACUGACGUUGAGGCUCGAAAGCGUGGGGAGCAAACAGGAUUAGAUACCCUGUA
rnacentral:rRNA from 1 species